CGUGUAUGCAAAUUCUCAUGAAAAUAAAAAGAGGAAAACUAAUAAAUAAAUAUAUAUAUAAAAAAAAUACUUGAAUAGGUGAUGCGAAACUAUAACAUAUGCAAACCUUUUUCGAAAUUUUCUUAACAUUGCUAAUUAUAAAAAAAUAAAAUUGCAACUGUGGCGAAAUAUUAUGGGUAAACUAUAACUGCUGUAUUGUUGUAUUUAACAAAACCGGAUAUUGCGAUUGGUCAACGUUAUUAACAACAAUCGAAAAUAACUUUAAACCAAACGGUCAGUAAAAAUAAUCAUAAUAUUGUAUUUACACUGUUUACAGACAAUUGCAUAAAUGCGUAGUGAAUAAUAAUAAUAUUUUUUUGGGCCGAAUGGAUCGUGUUAUACAAAGUUUUCUGCGGUACCGUUUUUCCAAUCGAAACUAAAAUUAAUACCAGC